UGGGGGAUAUUGCACAAUGGGCGAAAGCCUGAUGCAGCGACGCCGCGUGGGGGAUGAAGGCCUUCGGGUUGUAAACUUCUUUUGCUCUGAACAAGGCAUGCUUUUGGGGUGUGUUGAGUGUAGGGGUUGAUUAGCGCCGGCUAACUACGUGCCAGCAGCCGCGGUAAUACGUAGGGCGCGAGCGUUGUCCGGAAUUAUUGGGCGUAAAGGGCUUGUAGGUGGCUGGUUGCGUCUGUCGUGAAAGCUCAUGGCUUAACUGUGGGUUUGCGGUGGGUACGGGCUGGCUUGAGUGCAGUAGGGGAGGCUGGAAUUCCUGGUGUAGCGGUGGAAGGCGCAGAUAUCAGGAGGAAUACCGGUGGCGAAGGCGGGUCUCUGGGCUGUUACUGACGCUGAGGAGCGAAAGCGUGGGGAGCGAACAGG
rnacentral:rRNA from 1 species